rnacentral:rRNA from 1 species
AUGAUUUGCCUCAGUUGGAACUGCCGGGGGCUUGGGAACCCCGAGGCAGUUCACGAGCUUUGCAGCAUUGUGAAGCAAGAAGGUCUCGGUCUCUUGUUUCUUAUGGAGACUAAGAUUUCAGCAAUAAGAGUGGAAAGACUGCAGAAUCACUUGGGUUUUGUAGGCUGUUUUGCAGUGAAUAGUACAGGUCUAAGUGGUGGGAUUGGCAUGUUUUGGUCCCAAGACUUUGAUGUUGAGCUUAAGAAUUACAGUUCCUGUCACAUUGAUGUUUCUGUCAGGCGUAAGGGGGGCGAAGGUAGGACUUGGCGAGUGACCGGUUUCUAUGGAGCGCCUCGAGCAGAGGACAUGCAUCAUAUUUGGAGGUUUUUGAGGACUUUGUUUGCAAUUAAACAUGAGGGUUGGAUGUGCAUCGGUGACUUUAAUGAAACUCUUUUUGGCUCAGAGCACUUCUCUCUUUCGCCGCGACUAGAGUGGCAAAUGAGGGCUUUUCGGGUAGUAGUGGAUGAUUGCUCACUCACGGAUCUUGGAUGGUCGGGAGUGGAGUAUACUUGGGAUAAUAGGCAGUCGAGAAGAUCAAAUGUCAAAGCUCGUCUUGACAGGGCCUUUGGAAAUCUGUCUUUGGUUAAUAUGUUUAAAUAUAUCAAGGUAUGUCAUAUUGUUGCUAUGGAGUCAGAUCACAACUUUGUUUUUGUGGAUAUCCGUGAGCAUUCUAUAUCAUCAGCUACUAGAGGGCCGAAGCCCUUUAUGUACGAAGAUGUUGUUGGAAAUAUGCCCUAG